GUGCUCGCUUCGGCAGCACAUAUACUAAGAAUU
rnacentral:snRNA from 1 species